AAGCUUGCUACAAGCCUGUUGCGGCAAACACAUCUUGUUGACAAGUUGUUGGAACAGCACUGUCACAACUUGUUAACAAGCUUGUUACAAACCUGUUGCGAACACAUAUUGUUGACAAGUUGUUGGAACAGCAUUGCUACAACCUGUUAACAAGUCGUGACAAUGCUGCUGGUUCCAACAACUUGUCAACAAGAUGUCUCCUCGACAGGCUUGUAGCAAGCUUAUUAACAAGCUUGCUACAAACCUGUUGCGAAAUAUCUUGUUCUCAUGACAAGGUGUUGGAACAGCAUUAUCACUUUAAGACUGCUAUUUGUUGGUUGGGCGAAAAAACUAGGCACACCGACCAUUUUUUGGAUCAAACUUAUAUGAACACAUAGAUAAUGAGAUCUAUUAUAUCUGCAUCGAGUUUCCUAACUUUUUAGGACUGGUUAGUCUGGUUUCCAUACGCCUGUGGUCGUAAAAAUAGAGUCACUGUCUUUCUAAACGGCCAGUUUAUAAUAUUUUAUCAACUUGUGAACCAUGCAUAUAAAUCAUAAGUUAGAG
rnacentral:lncRNA from 1 species